UGGUGGUGCAUGGCCGUUCUUAGUUGGUGGAGUGAUUUGUCUGGUUAAUUCCGAUAACGAACGAGACCUUAACCUGCUAACUAGAUUCUUCUAUACUAUAGAUGAUAUCUUCUUAGAGGGACUAUGUAAUACAAAUACAUGGAAGUUUGAGGCAAUAACAGGUCAGUGAUGCCCUUAUAUGUCCUGGGCUGCACGCGUGCUACACUGAUGCAUACAACAAGUGCCUAACCAGACAUGGUAUGGCAAUCUCGAAUAUGCAUCGUGAUGGGGAUAGAUCUUUGCAAUUA
rnacentral:rRNA from 1 species